rnacentral:rRNA from 1 species
GAUGAACGCUGGCGGCGUGCUUAACACAUGCAAGUCGAACGGAAAGGCUCCUGCUUGCAGGGGUACUCGAGUGGCGAACGGGUGAGUAACACGUGGGUGAUCUUCCCUGCACUUCGGGAUAAGCCUGGGAAACUGGGUCUAAUACCGGAUAGGACCACAUUUUGGAUGGUGUGGUGGAAAGUUUUUCGGUGUGGGAUGAGCUCGCGGCCUAUCAGCUUGUUGGUGGGGUAAUGGCCUACCAAGGCGUCGACGGGUAGCCGGCCUGAGAGGGUGUACGGCCACAUUGGGACAGAGAUACGGCCCAGACUCCUACGGGAGGCAGAAGUGGGGAAUAUUGAACAAUGGGCGCAAGCCUGAUGCAGGGACGCCGCGUGGGGGAUGAAGGCCUUCGGGUUGUAAACUCCUUUCGCUAGGGACGAAGCGCAAGUGACGGUACCUGGAGAAGAAGCACCGGCUAACUACGUG